rnacentral:lncRNA from 1 species
AGAAUUCCCUGAUCAUUUUUAACUAGAUGCAAUCUCUCUCUCUUUCUCUUUCCCUUUCUCUUACAGACAUGUGAAAAAUAGCCUAAUAAGGAUCUUCGUGGUAAAAUCAGAUGGAAAACGGGGAGGCAGAGUCGCGUCUCCAGCAGCUCAUUCGACGCGGCGGCUCCUCCGAGUUGUACAAUAAUCAUCAGUGCUGGCCCGGUGCCGCUGGAUUAUUUUGUAUAUUCAUGAAGGCCCUCAUCAGCCGUCAGGAGACUGUGCAGUAAUCCUUGGAUGAAAUAAGGCCAAUCAGAGCGAUAAUGAGGAAGGUCAAUUGCCCAGAGGCUUCUCCUCCUGUUUUCCAUCUAUUUAUAUACGUGGACCAUAAUAAGCCUCUUGGAACCAGAAGUUACUGGGCCUACAUAAACACCUGCUCUGGUUUUUUGUUUGUCUUUUACCCGAAAUCAGCAAAGUUUUUUUUUUUUUAAAUGAAUCUGCAAAACCAUGUCAAAGCUAUCAACUCAUGCAUGGAGUCGGAAAACAAAGGAGGAUUCUAAUAAUGUUUAUUUUCCUCUUUAUCAGAGACCCCCCCCCCAUACAAAAUCCCAAACCAAAAGAGGAGCCUAUAAAGGAAUGUCUAAACUGCUCACAGAGCUUUCUUUUCACAAAACGAGCGAGAAACCAUCAACAGGGCAGGGAAGGCAAACACGUCUGCCCCACACUGCUUGUGCUUUCUUGGGUCACAGAGACACAUCCGAGCAGGUCAUGGGCUGCUUCCACCGACAGAUGUCCUGAUGUGAAGGAGAGUACCACUGAAGAAAAUGCCUGAACUGCUAUUAUCUGCAUCCUUCAAGCGCUUUUAAAUGACAGAGAUUAAUUACUGAAGUAAUUACUGUUGGGAAGCAAAGGGACAGUUGGAUAAGACGGCCUUUCUUGUGAUGACCAAGUCUUUCUUGACAAUUAUGCCUAAUUCCAACAAUGAUUAUUCCGUGUGGCAAAGUCGAGCAGCACAAGGGCAUGCGGGUGUCCGUGUGUCCUCACUCACAAGGAGCCAUUAGAACGAGGACAGGAUUACGACGUGCCGUUAACAUUAGCCUCAGCACAGUGUCUGGAUGAUCAGCCAUGCCUCUUGUAAAUGUCCCACAUAAACCCUGCAGGCCAUGGGCGGUCACCAUGUGAGAGACAGCAUGGCUCCAUCAGUUGGUUACUGCGGGAUUUCUGCAAAGUAUGGUUCAGAGGAUGUCAGGUCUGUUAGGACCCCUGGGCUGGGAGGGGAAAGGUAGAGGAGGGGUCAGUGACCAGCACAGGACAGAAAAGCAUCUUAAGCAAAUAUUGGAUUGUGAGCAUCGAAGAGAAACAACUCAAGAGGGCCUUCCAGCUGGCUCUAGCUGGCACCCGUUCAAUUCUUCCGGCCAUGAUGUGCCCACAAGAACGCCCCAGGAGAGAUGCUUCUGUAAGGGAGCAGCCACCAGCCACCUAAAUGAGGUCAACGGAAAGAAUGGAAAUAGUUGGAGCCUGGGGAUGACAUCAAACACUGGGUGGGUGAGGGGGAGAAAGGAGGUAUGUGGAGAGAGAGGCAGCCCAAGGGAGGCAGAGACAUGGAUGGGAGGAGUGACAGAAGGGCAGGACUUCAGGCUCUGCACCUCUUUCCGGGUGUUGUUGCCAGCCCUACUCCAACCCUGAGCCAUAAUCAACUUCCUUAAUGAAAUACGUAAUUAACAUAUUAUAAUUGUAGUAAAGAUGAUUUUGACAGAAAUC